rnacentral:lncRNA from 1 species
GGUGAUCGGCUGUCACCGGGGAUGAGCCUCCCCAGCAACCCGGCUGUGCCCGGAGCUCCCCCGCUCCCUCCACCCGGCCUAAGGAUGGGGACCGGGACCGUUCCGGGCCCUGCCGAGCGUGAAACGGGUCACCGAGCAGGGGAACGUACCCACAGCAAGGCAAUGCAAGUUGGAACAAUAUAAACGACCUAAACCCAUCCUGUCCCGCUGAAAAUGGACAAAGCCUCGUGUGUUUACAAGCAGCAGGACUGCAAAAGGUGCUCACAUCCUCCCCUGAGAACCGUGCCGGCUCUGCUGUGGUUGGCACAGCUUCUGUCCCUCGAGGAGCAGCCCCCGGUGGCACUGCUGCAUGACUCUGGCAGGAGUGCUGCAGCCACUGACCAGCACUUUAAUUUGGAUACCAACAGUGAUGGAAAACUCAGUGACAGCACCAGGUCUUAAACCACACAAAUUAGGCCUGUGCUACUGGGCAUCGUUUAAUCCUCCAGGGCAAAGAUGAGGUCUUAAGCAUUUCACUGUGAAGACGGAAAAUCUUCCCUACGUGCUCUAAAAAAAUUGCAUCUUUACAUUUUGUGGCUGUAUCGCAGAGACAUGCAGUCUGUGGGUAUUUACAACAGAACCUGUUGGAUCACCAGAUUAAACAUUAAUUAGUAAAAUGAACAUCAUAAAAAAAUCACAUUAUUGUACUCAGUUUCUCAUUAAAGGGAUGCAGUUCCCAAGUAGAAUUCGUAUGUAAGGGGCUUCCAUCUGACAUUUAAGGUCUGGCUGUGCCAGUGACACACACACAGACUCACAGACACUGGCACAGCCUGCAGGGCGAGGUGUGAUUCAGUUAUGAGAACAGUUACUCUGUCAUCAGCAGGCCCAGGUUCAGCUCUGGCUGGACCUGGUGGAGUGAUCUGUGUGGAAAGGGCAGCAUUCCUGGGGAAGAAUGAGAAAAGCAAGAGACAGCAGUAAGAGGAACUGGGAUGCUGAGGUAAAGCUGAGGUGUUUGCUGACCUUUAAGCAGCACACACACCAUGAGUUAUGAUUCUCACUAAAGAGAUGCAACAGCAUGAAUUACAGUUUCUGUACUAUGUUGAAAGCUUUGUGCUGUUUCAAACUUUGGAUUGUCGUCUAAGAAUCAGGUUUAGAUCAGGUGCUGCCCAAAUAAAUUAGCAAGAGCUAAUUUAAAUAAGCA